UACGUAGGGGGCCAGCGUUGCUCGGAAUUACUGGGCGUAAAGGGUCCGUAGGCGGUGUGGCAAGUCGGGAGUGAAAUCUCUGGGCUUAACUCAGAGGCUGCUUCCGAAACUGCCGUGCUAGAGUGUGAGAGAGGCGAGUGGAAUUGCGGGUGUAGCGGUGAAAUGCGUAGAUAUCCGCAGGAACAUCCGAGGCGAAAGCGGCUCGCUGGAUCACAACUGACGCUGAGGGACGAAAGCUAGGGGAG
rnacentral:rRNA from 1 species